CUGGCUCAGGAUGAACGCUAGCGGCAGGCUUAACACAUGCAAGUCGAGGGGCAGCGGGAUGUAGCAAUACAUUGCCGGCGACCGGCGGAUGGGUGCGUAACGCGUAUGCAACCUACCUUAUACAGGGGAAUAACCUUUCGAAAGGGAGACUAACACCCCAUAGUAUUGAUUUAAGGCAUCUUAGAUUAAUUAAAUAUUUAUAGGUAUAAGAUGGGCAUGCGUAUGAUUAGCUAGUUGGUAAGGUAACGGCUUACCAAGGCGACGAUCAUUAGGGGUUCUGAGAGGAAGGUCCCCCACACUGGUACUGAGACACGGACCAGACUCCUACGGGAGGCAGCAGUGAGGAAUAUUGGUCAAUGGGCGCAAGCCUGAACCAGCCAUGCCGCGUGCAAGGAAGACGGCCUUAUGGGUUGUAAACUGCUUUUACAUAAGACUAACCGUAUAUUUGCGAAUAUACCUGAAUGUAUUAUGAGAAUAAGGAUCGGCUAACUCCGUGCCAGCCGCCGC
rnacentral:rRNA from 1 species